GACGUUAGUCAUCAACAGGAGCUUGCGAAAAUACGACGUGUUCCAAACGGAGCAAAAUAAUUGAGUUAAAAUUGUUACUGUCGCAGCAUUGAAUUCAAAUUUUGCAGUUACGACGUUGAUUUAAUUGCAGUUAAUUUGUGUACGUAGUUUCGUUCCCCACGAGAAAGAGCUAGGGUUGCCAACGAGAUGGCCAAGGUUACAAAUUUACUGGACAAAGAUAUAUUCAGAUCGGUUGAGGUCUCGCUAACAAACGGACCAGUUGUGAGAAGUUCAAAUUUCCACCCAAUUGAGCCCGUUGUAGCCUGUGGGUUUAUUGGAGAAAUCACACUGCUCAAGGGGUCAAGUCAUUCCACUAUUUCAGCUUGGAAAGGCGAACAUCGAUUUCAUUGAGAAAGUCCAGCGCUGUUCUUAAAAUGGAACACGAGCGGGACUAAACUAGCAGCUGGAUCCUCUGACGGCACUGUCGUUAUUUGGAAUUAUCCAAGUGGCGUGAAAAGACUUUUAUUUCAAGGCCGUUCAAAUCAUCCAAUUAUCGUUUGGAACCCAUUCAACUGUAAUGUAUUUGCCAGUUUCUACAAAUCGCCUGACUACAAAAUGGUUUUGAUUUGCGAUACAUCCGACGACUCUACUGACUCCUAUGAGCUCGAAUCGAAUCAAAAUGUUUCGUGUGUUGAAUGGAUUUCACGCAACCAACUCAUUUGCGGCUAUGAUAGGGGAACGGCGGAAAUUCACGAAAUAGAACUAAGCGAUAAGUCAACCAGCAAAUUAAUCAAGAAACUUGUUGUAAGUGCACGAGUCUCGCACUCGUCAGACCCAUACAGUUUGUCAGAAGGAGGUAUGGGUUAUAAGGUUUCGAAUAUCGUCUGGAACGAAGAACUAAAACUGUUGGCCACCAGUUCAGAAGACAGUUGGAUCAAGAUUUGGUCAUUGGAAAAAGAGGAUCCCAUACGUAUGAUAGAAUCCAGU